rnacentral:lncRNA from 1 species
GAAGCAGAGGAGGAGGAGAUGGAGGUUCAAUUUGUUUCUGAGAUCGAGAGGGGGUUUCUGGAGCCUCAGAUACCUACGCUUGAUUACAAACCUCUGAUUCUGGAGGAGGAGUUCUUGCCGGACUCGGAGGCGAACCGCCGGCGGUUUUUAGCGCAAGAUCCCCCCGGGAUUGUGGGACGAGUUUUGUCCAGGGACAAGCUGUCCUGUUACCCGGGAAAAGGCCGGGCCUACGGCCGUUGCUUGCCAAGCGCGUCUAACAAGCGGCCUUCCCGAGUCUGCAGAAGGAACUAUCAUCGGUGCUAGCUAGUAGCCGUCCCACCAAUGCCGGAAUCAUAUUAUGUAUUCUUCCUUCCAGCUCUCUACUAGACUUUAUUAUGAUUUCUGAAUAAAGCAAUGCUCAUGUGAUGACAUCGAUGGCAAGCCGUGAAAGUUGCAUAUGCGUAUGUUCUUAGUUUAAGGAACUACGUACGUAGGUGGCUAAUAAACACGGGCGAUUUGUUUGCCUUCGAUGCCACAAAGGCCGUGCAAAAAGUGGAUGAACUCAGAGGGAGUGUUGAAGUCCGUGGUUCUGCAAUCCCUUCGGACUUGAGAUCAGAAAGCCGGUCUAACCCACCAGCCAUGGCAACCCGAAUACAUAAUUUCUGUCUUCACCACUCUACAUCAAAAAACAAAAAAUUAUAAUCCAUACCUUUGGAACAGUAAGAAAUGAUUUUUUUUUCUCGGGAAUUGAUGCUAUCGGAAUUCUUUUAGCAAUUGUUGGAUCGAUUGUCUUAGCCUAGUCUAUAGAUAACACGUAUAUAAUUCACACGCAAGUGGAAUGUGCUCAUAUGGUGCUAUUAUUCAUGCCGAACCUCCACAAUUUAGUCGAUUAAUUUGAAUUCCUG